AGAGGUGGCAAGCGUUGUUCGGAAUUACUGGGCGUAAAGGGCGCGCAGGCGGUUUGCCAAGUCUCGUGUGAAAUCCCCCGGCUCAACUGGGGAACUGCGCGGGAUACUAGUGGACUUGAGUUCGGGAGAGGAAAGCGGAAUUCCGGGUGUAGCGGUGAAAUGCGCAGAUAUCCGGAGGAACACCAGUGGCGAAGGCGGCUUUCUGGACCGACACUGACGCUGAGGCGCGAAAGCUAGGGGAGCGAACGGGAUUAGAUACCCCGGUAGUCCUAGCCCUAAACGAUGAGCACUGGGUGUAGGGGGUAUGAACCCCCCCCCCCCCCCUGUGCCGAAGCUAACGCAUUAAGUGCUCCGCCUGGGGAGUACGGUCGCAAGGCUG
rnacentral:rRNA from 1 species